CGCGGCCAGAGGCCGGGCGGGACCCGGGAAGUCGCUGUGUCAGUUUUCUCCUCUGUGAAAUGGGAUGAAGCGAUUAGGCGGGGAGGGGGAGAAGGAGGAGCGCUACCCAAGCCUGUGCCGGCCCAGGAGACCGCAGGGACGGCCCGAGCGUCCACCAUCCCCGCUCCACGGUUUCUCCCCAGCCGCGCCUCCUGCGCCCCGCGGGACUCAGCGCACCACUCCGGAAGGUGAAGGAACUGAGGCUCAGAGAAGUUAAAUAACUAGCCCACGAUCAUUCAGCAAGGAAGACCUAGACUGGCUACCAAGUCUACCUAGGGCCAAAGCUUUGUUUACUAUUACUAUGUUUCCUUUUUGUUUUGUUGUUUUUUUGAGACUGGGUCUUGACAAUGUAGUUCACGUGGCCUUGAAUCAUUAUGUAGCCCAGGAAAGCCUUGAACUCACAGUGAUCCUCCUGCCUUAGCCGCCUCAGUGCUAGGAUUACAGGCCUGUACCCCUAAGCAUGGCUUCUAUUUCUGUUUCUGGCCAGACAGGUUGUGAUCCAGGAAAACCCAGGUUUCUUAUGGCUGAUUCUAAAAACUCAAUGAGAAGCCAUUUCAUCAGUCACCAAAUAAUUCUGGCAGGGCAGCUGGGCCAAGGCAGAAGCAAGAAAUAGCCGGAAAUACAGCUGGAACUCAGCCUUCCCUGAAGCCUUUCUGGUCAGCUCAUGUGGCAGUGCACCAUCAGCAUCAAACUCCUUGAACUUCCUCAAGCUUCUCUGCUGUAGGACGAGGAUCAUAUCUGUCUCUGACUGCACCUGACACCAGACCUAGAGUCCAGACAUCAGCUGACCCUUGUCACAGGUUCACUGUGCAACCCAAGGAACAAGCUACUUGCCUUUCUUGAA